rfam:Methanococcoides burtonii DSM 6242, complete genome.
GGGCUUGUAGAUCAGUUGGAAGAUCGCCGCCUUUGCAAGGCGGAGGCCUAGGGUUCGAAUCCCUACAAGUCCA